rnacentral:tRNA from 1 species
ACCUGGCUGGCUCAGUCAGUAGAGCAUGCGACUCUUAAUCUCAGUGUCGUGAGUCCAAGUCCCACACUGGGCA